rnacentral:rRNA from 1 species
AUUGAACGCUGGCGGCAUGCCUUACACAUGCAAGUCGAACGGCAGCACGGGUGCUUGCACCUGGUGGCGAGUGGCGAACGGGUGAGUAAUACAUCGGAACGUACCUUAUCGUGGGGGAUAACGCAGCGAAAGUUGCGCUAAUACCGCAUACGCCCUGAGGGGGAAAGCGGGGGACCGUAAGGCCUCGCGCGAUUAGAGCGGCCGAUGUCUGAUUAGCUUGUUGGUGAGGUAAAAGCUCACCAAGGCGAUGAUCAGUAGCUGGUCUGAGAGGACGAUCAGCCACACUGGGACUAAGACACGGCACAGACUCCUACGGGACGCAGCAGUGGGGAAUUUUGGACAAUGCGGGCAACCCUGAUCCAGCAGUGCCGCGUGAGUGAAGAAGGCCUUCGGGUUGUAAAGCUCUUUUGUCAGGGAAGAAACAGCAGCUCUAACACAGUCUGCGAAUGACGGUACCUGAAGAAUAAGCACCGGCUAACUACGUGCCAGCCGCCGCAGUAA